AUUGAACGCUAGCGGGAUGCUUUACACAUGCAAGUCGAACGGAGUGGCGGACGGGUGUAUAAUAUAUCGGACCGUGCCAUGUAGCGGGGGAUAAAUCCUAGAAAGAGUGGCUAAUACCGCAUACUAUUAGAUCGUCCGAUAGCGGAUUAGCUAGUUGGUGGGGUAAAGGCUCACCAAGGCAACGAUCCGUAGUUGGUUUGAGAGGAGGAUCAGCCACACUGGGACGUAGACACGGCCCAGACUCCUACGGGAGGCAGCAGUGGGGAAUUUUGGACAAUGGGGGAAACCCUGAACCAGCCAUCCCGCGUGUAUGAAGAAGGACUUCGGGUUGUAAAGUACUUUUGGCAGAGAAGCGGUAUCUGCAGAAUAAGCACCGGCUAACUACGUGCCAGCAGCCGCGGUAAUUC
rnacentral:rRNA from 1 species